rnacentral:rRNA from 1 species
GUGACAGCCCCGUACACAAAAGCGCAUGUGCUGUGAGCUCGAUGAGUAGGGCGGGACACGUGAUAUCCUGUCUGAAUAUGGGGGGACCAUCCUCCAAGGCUAAAUACUCCUGACUGACCGAUAGUGAACCAGUACCGUGAGGGAAAGGCGAAAAGAACCCCGGCGAGGGGAGUGAAAAAGAACCUGAAACCGUGUACGUACAAGCAGUGGGAGCACCCUUCGGGGUGUGACUGCGUACCUUUUGUAUAAUGGGUCAGCGACUUAUAUUCUGUAGCAAGGUUAACCGAAUAGGGGAGCCGGAGGGAAACCGAGUCUUAACCGGGCGUUAAGUUGCAGGGUAUAGACCCGAAACCCGGUGAUCUAGCCAUGGGCAGGUUGAAGGUUGGGUAACACUAACUGGAGGACCGAACCGACUAAUGUUGAAAAAUUAGCGGAUGACCUGUGGCUGGGGGUGAAAGGCCAAUCAAACCGGGAGAUAGCUGGUUCUCCCCGAAAGCUAUUUAGGUAGCGCCUCGUGAAUUCAUCUCCGGGGGUAGAGCACUGUUUCGGCUAGGGGGCCAUCCCGGCUUACCAACCCGAUGCAAACUGCGAAUACCGGAGAAUGUUAUCACGGGAGACACACGGCGGGUGCUAACGUCCGUCGUGAAGAGGGAAACAACCCAGACCGCCAGCUAAGGUCCCAAAGUCAUGGUUAAGUGGGAAACGAUGUGGGAAGGCCCAGACAGCCAGGAUGUUGGCUUAGAAGCAGCCAUCAUUUAAAGAAAGCGUAAUAGCUCACUGGUCGAGUCGGCCUGCGCGGAAGAUGUAACGGGGCUAAACCAU